AGGCAGGCCUCCCCAGCCCGGCCACUGCUCCCCGAGGGGCUCGGGCUAUGUGGGCUGGCCUUGGGAGAAGGUGGACAAUCCUCUAGGUCCAAGGACAUGGGGGUCACAGAGGUGGGGGCCUUGGGCCCACACAUCCGAGGAAAGUUCCUAACAGUUACCAGCGGCUAUCCCAGGCAGGUAUCAGGGUCAGCCCACACCUGAGUGCCCCCACCAUUGGCAGGGCUGGGAGGCACCUGACUCCACCUCCAGCAGCUCUG
rnacentral:lncRNA from 1 species